CCGUCUCAAAUCAACAACCGGUGCAGUGAACGGGUAAAGUGACGCGGUUAUGUACGCAAAACAAUCGCGUCAGUCGCGUGAAAUGUCGUAGGAAAAAACAUGUAAGGAUUUGUAAUCUUAAGUGACAUCGUGUUGAAUUUUACGUUUUUUUUUGUUCGGGGAUACCAUUAGGAAAACAGUGAAAGUGAAACUUAGCCCGUACGUCGUCGCGUUUACGAAUUGGUUUUAUCGUUGGUGACGUACGGUUUUGGAACACCGAGGCCAAACACGAAUCCGCUGUUCGAGGAUGAGCGCGAACAAUGUGCAAGCUCUUUUCGCGUGUUCCAGAUGCUUUUCGAGGCAUCCUUUCGAGGAACUUUCCCCGGGACAACAAUUGUGCAAGGAAUGCAGAGGUGCAUUUCCUGUAGUGAAAUGUACAUAUUGUAGGUCAGAAUUCCAACAAACGAUAAAAGGAAAUACAAGCACCAUAUGUAAAAAAUGUGAGCAAAAUGUGAAAGCUUAUGGUAAGCCAUCGGCCUGUGAAUAUUGCAAUACCAUAGCUGCAUUCAUUGGCAGCAAAUGUCAACGAUGUACGAAUUCUGAAAAACGUUAUGGGCCGCCGGUAACUUGUGAGCAAUGCAAACAGAAGUGUGCCUUUGACAGACAGGAUGAAGACAAAAAAGUUGAUGGAAAGUUAUUAUGUUGGCUGUGUACACUGUCAUACAAACGAGCAUUGGCAAAAACAAAACAGUCAGAUGCAGAGAGAAGGGCACAUUUGAAACUGGCACAGCAACGGGCAGCGAAGCACAAAGAACAAAAGUUGAAAGGUCAUAAUAAGAGACCACACAGAGUAGAUGUUACAAAGCUGCCACCUCAGUCUGAAAGCGGAGAUUCGAAUGGUCCUACCCCGGUGAAAGCAGCUCGGAUGGUUGGUGUUCAUGAUCCACAUGAUCCUAACAGUUCGGAUCACGUAGUAGCAGUUACACAACUCAAAGAAAAGAUAGCUCAUCUCCAAAAACAAAUCACCAUCAAGGAUGGACAAUUGCUAGCUAAGGAUAGGCAGAUUACAGAAUUAAAGGCGAAAAACUUCACAUCGGAGACGGAACUGCGUAACAAGAUGAAAGCGACGGAAAAGGAAUACGAAGCGAAAAUCUCAACGAUGCAGCUGAAGAUCUCCAGUUUAUUGAAAGAAGUUGCAUCCUUGUCGAAGAGUUCCAAGCGUGGUGACAGAGUGACCGCAACGAAAACAGAAGCUGGGACCAAUAGUGGAAGUGGAACAGACAGUCCUGUACCUUGAUAAGACGCACUAACGUCGAUGCGGAUGAAUCGAGCAAGUUGGACCCGGACCGAGUUGAUCCGAGCGGGGGCACGAUUAAAAGUGAAGCCUCUUGACCACGUAGCCGGAGGUCAUAGUGGUGUAGGCAGACGUUACUCUCUUCCGUCUGGUCUGCGGGCAAGGUGGAGUGCGAGCGAUGGCCGCGAGUGUGACGAGGUCUGCCGCUUCGUCGAGCGGUAUGGCUCGAAGAGGAAUUCGUGGCAGUUCAGGAAGCGGAGUCGCGUCAUCGCGGAAUGAUGUAUUCUUUUCGAGAAUCCCGGUCCACGGACUAAACGUGCGCACAAACUGCUUAGUCAUUGACGGCAAAGCAUAAAAAACCCAUCGAACGGAAAACAAGACGAAGGGUGAACAAAAGAUGUCGACGGACGAAGAAUCACUGUGUCAUGUAUGGGAAUGUGGGAUUAUGGGGAUACCUGAAGUAUAGGGAAUGGUGGGUAUAUGGUUAUGGGGAUAUAGGGAUACAGGACUGUAGAGAUCUAGGGAUAUAGGGAUACAGGACUGUAGAGAUCUAGGCAUAUAGGGACACGGGAUUAUAGAGAUCUAGGGAUCAAGGAAUGCAAGAUUAUGGAGAUCUAGGGAUAUAAGAAUGCAGGACUAUAGAAAUCUGAGGAUAUAAGAAUACAGGACUAUAGAGAUCUAGGCAUAUAGAGAUACAGGACUAUAGAGAUCUAGGCAUAUAGGGGACACGGGAUUAUAGAGAUCUAGGGAUCAAGGAAUACAAGAUUAUAGAGAUCUGGGACCAGGAAUUUAAAUAUCAGGGAUUUAAGAAGAUUUACAGUGAUUUAUAGUGAUUUAGAAAUCCAUAUUGAGUUAAGUAUAGAAACACAGUGGUGAACCACGCGUUAUAUCGCCUUACACCGUAUAUCCAACGUGUUAUAUUGCCUCACAUCGUAUAUCCAACGCGUUAUAUUGCCUCACACCGUAUAUCCAACGCGCUAUAUCGCCUCACACCGUAUAUCUAACGCGUUACAUCACCCCUCAUUGUACAUCGCUGCAUAUCGUCCUCAAUUAAACCCUCCGCGCGUUAUAUCGCCUUACACCGUAUAUCCAGCGUGUUAUAUCGCCUUACAUUGUACAUUACUGCAUAUCAUCCCUAAUUAAACCUUCCACGCGUUAUACCGCCUCACACCGUAUAUCCAACGCAUUAUAUCGCCCCUCAUUGUACAUCGCCGCAUAUCGUCUCCGAUUAAACCACCACUUAUUAUAUCGCCUCGCAUUGCAUACCCGUCACGCCCAAUCGGUAUCAUCGAUCAGAAACAAUUGUAAAAGAGGUGUCUAAAGGAGAAAGGGUGCUGAGCGACAUCGACCCAAUAAGAACGAGGGAUUUUCAGGGACACCGGUCACAGGAAGCACGUCGAUGGAUCAGGGAGGUCAGGGGCGGUAAGAUCGAGAGGAAGGGAGAGAGCGAGAAAGAGAGAGAGAGAGAGAUGCUGCCGGGAGAGUCUGGUGUGUUCGGGACGCGGUCGAAGACACGAGACACACAGCGACCGUUCGUUACAUAAGUAAGGUAAAGGAUCUCCUCUUCUGCUCUCCUUGAACCGAUCCACAUCCGCGAUUAUGCCACUUUCCAUCGACCUCGCUUCACCUCGACUCGCUGUACGCAGCCAGCACGUGUGAGACGUCCGUGUACGUGAAACUAAUUAAGCUCCAUUGAUCGGAUCUAAUGAAUUUUACAACCUCUUUUUACUUUGUUUCCUCGGUCUUGCGGUUAUCUUUAUUUACCGACUUUGAUGAUGUUCAAAUUGUAUGACUUAGGAACUAUUUAUUCAAUUUGGAAAUUGUUUCAUUUGAAAUUUUAUUUUUUUAAACAAAAUGACUUAUGUUAUUGUUAAUGUAUAUGGACAAUCAAUUUUUUAAUAUCAAAUUAAUUUAAAUUAUAUUCCUUCAAUGCACUUUUUAAGAUUUAAGAGUUGUUUGUAUAUUUAUUGGUUGGAUAGUAAUUUUGACUUUUUCUUCUUGUUA
rnacentral:misc_RNA from 1 species